CCGGAGGAAGCAGAGGCGAAGGGAGCGGCCUAACGACGGCGCUGCUCGCUGGAGAACGAGCGCAUGGGCAGCGAGGAGUACAGCGGGGCCUCUCCGGCGAGCCAGACACUUCCACUCGGGCCCGUCGCACUCCCACUCCCUCCGCACUCGCUCCUUAGGGCAAGACGCCAAAACCCGCCUCCUUCGCUCCGGGGGCGGUGGCGGCAGACGCAGGACGCUACGGAAAGCUGAGGUCAGAGUUCACGGAGGCCUUUCCACGCACGCUGUGGAGACGCUAGUUAAAGGGCAAGCCUGUUGGCUGAAGCCUGUGUCAGUCUUCGCGUGACCCGCCUUCCAGGAGGCAUGACAACGACCGGAAGGGGCUGUUCUCGCGAGACUUGAAACCGACGGUUAAAGGACAGUGGGGAGAGUGGGACAAGCAUGCUUUCAUUCGAAUAUAACUUGACUAUCUUUUUCCCUAUAUGAGAGUAAGAAAAAAAAGUUUACGACUUUUAAAGAGUAUAAGGCCUGGGAGUAAUGCCAAUUAAGGGGUUAUCCUAGUGACUAACAGAAGAAUUAUCAGAAGAAGCUUUCGUUUGGUAUCGGACGCGUGGCCUACAUUGCCUUAACCACGAUGGUGUAAUGUUGCCACGUGAAAACCACAAAUCCCAGAAUUCAGCCGGCAUGUUACACUGGGCCAGAAUGUGAUUGGCUGAAGGAACUUGUAGCCUCCUCAUUGGCUCCCGUAGGAGGAGUGAAUGUGGGGAUUUGUAGGCUGGCGGGGCCGCAGUGUGGAGAAAAACCUUUGGAGCCCGGCAGACUGGGUUUCUGCAGCAAGAAAAAGACGCUGAAGCCUGGAGAGGAUACCUGGAACUUCUCAAGUCACACAGCUCCUGAAUGGCAGAGACAGAAUUCAAACCCAGUUGGUCAGACUCUUGAGUCUAUACUUGAUCAUUAAUAUACCGACUGUUCAGGUACCUUAAAAAGGUCCAGAGGAGUGCUCAAUGGAAUUACUCUCAACUACUGAGGCAACUUCCUGAGGUUGACCCAUACCCUGUGGAUUAUGGUUUUUCCCACUCUGUCUGGUGGGACCAGGCACAACUGCCAGCACUUUGUGGGUACCAGACACUGUUCUCUAGCGCUUUUAUUUGAUUUUCAUCCUAACCUUGGGUGAUGCCUUCACACUGAUGAACUGAUGGGUACUCCCCUGAGUGCUUCAGGGGGAUUCUGCAGAUGUUCAGAGUUCCCUCCCUCUGAAGCUCUCUCAUCUCUAGUACACCAGUCUUAUCUAGGUCCACUCAGACUCUCAGCUUCACCUCCUCAACUGUGGGUGUCCACCAGGGUUUGCCUGGGUUACCCUCCCGGUGCGAUGAUCUGAAAACGCAAAGCGUAAUUUGGGGCAAUUAUAGGGCUCACCUCAUUUCCAUUCUGUCUCUUAGGGACAGCUGUCCUUCAUUGCUUAAUGUCCUCAAUGUUCAUAUAUUUUGUCUGUAUUAUUUUUGGUUGUUUUGGGUGGGAGGAGAAAUCUGGCUCCUGUUACUCCGUCUUGGAUGGAAAGAGAAGCCUCAGAAGUGACUUUUGAGUAAAUUUAUUAUUUAU